AAAGCUUCUCUCCUGCCUUGUGUUUCUAGUCCUGAAGGUUAGCCAGGUGGAGGGGGGUUCCGCUGACCCGCGUGUCUGCCAUGGAUUCACCCAGCUUGCUCCAAGUGAAGAUUAUUUUCUGAGUCCCGUGAGGGUACAAAACCCGGUUUCUGCAGAUUAAGAACCUCUUGGAAAAAUACUUCCCGAACAAGCUGAACAUUGUGAGUGACUUGGGGGAGAGGGAAUCAAGAG